rnacentral:rRNA from 1 species
UCCCCNAGGUAUCCUGAAUCUUUCGCCAUUGUUAAUCAUACAAAUGCUUAUAAUAAACACAAAAAUCAAUGAUAAUCAUGCCAUUAUAUAAUUCCGAAAAAUUAACGCACUGUAUUCAUAUAAAUCUAUCAGCACUUUAUCAAAUUUACAACAUUUAUUUUAUGUUAAAAUGCAAGCAUAAUAAUUUAAAUAAACAAUAAGUCGCAAUUUUUUGAUAAAUUAUUGUUACUAAUAAGACGUUACAAUGUCCUUAUAUGGAAAAAG